AGAAAAAGGUAGAUAUUUCAUUUCAAUGAUAUGUUCCAAUAUUCAAAGAGGACAUUUUAAUAUUUCAAACCCAUUCUAGGAAUAAGGGAGCUAGCGUUCAUGGUUGAAAGACCCCGACUAGACAACCGACAUUAAAACGACCCGACCGACCCAGACCCGGACCUCGCACAUGACUCAAGGAAAAAUAUCUCACCGGAACCCCGUAAUUCUGACGAGACAACCGACAUUAAAAUGGCUCAUUUAUAGACACCAAACGGACAAGGCACUUGACUCCCCUUCCCGAAAAAGCUUCACCAAUUCCCGUAUCCCAAAUAACACCUCAUCUUGAAACUUAGUCGUACAACCAACCACCCCUAAUCGAUCAAGUUACAAGAGAGAUGGGCUGGAAUACUCCAUUUUCCUCUACCCACAGACUUCGUCUCACCAACGAUCCGCUGCAACCUACACUAGCCAUCCUGUAGCCCAAGAACAACAAUUGCGGUUCACUCAUUGGCUUUGAACAAUAACUCAAACACUCUCGAAAACUCUUGGCAUGUUCCUGAACUCGUUGGCCGAACAAACAAUGCAACCUUCCACGAAACAGUCUAUGGAGAAUCUCCAUACUAACACUAGGCAGAUUGGAUUCUGUUUCGCUUACCAAACGUUGGACCAAACAAGUCCGCGCAGUCACUCUGUAGGUGCUAGUGUGGAUCGACACCACUAUGAGUGAGCCUUUGUAACACCUGUAUCUGAAAUUUUGGUGGUGUCGACCGACACCAGUUUUGGGUGUCGAUCGACACCAACAAAAUUGGGUUAGACGGUUUAGUUUUUAAAUUGUCGGUUUGACUCAAUUUUUGUUUGGGAGCAAUCCUAGGUCGACUUAAACUAGAGCAGCCAUCUUUAUUCUUCA